GAUGUGAAAAGAAAGAAAAAGAGACAGAGGAGUAGUGUGUUCUUUUUCGGUAUGCCAAAAUCUAACCAUUUUCUUCUGGCUCUGUUGUGGUAUAGUAACAGAUCUCUUAGCCUCCAACAUAUCCUUUGGCUCCAUAUCAUUUGAUUCAUCGUUGUUUUCCUUAACAUGUUCACUAGCUGCAUCUUUUACACCAGAAACUUCAGGUUCUGGAACAUUAUUGUCGUCAGGUAUGAUAUUCUCAUUUUCUACAAUUGGAUAUUCUAUCUUCAAUCCGUCAACCUCCUCGUCUGAUUGUUGUUGAAGCUUCAUGACUUUUCUUGGAUAAUCCUGAAAAUUCAAACCUGAUAUUUCAUUUUGCCCUGAUCCUCUCACAUCUUGUGAGACAAAAUUUUCAGAAGUUUCUGUCUCCUUAAGGGAUUUAAAAUCCAGUGUUUCCAUUUGUGGAAGAAAUUUUGCCACAUUUUUCAUUUCUUCAUGAAAUUCAGCAGUGAUGCAUGGGUCAUCAACCAUCUUUCUGUGAUUGUCUUCUAUUGUCAUAUCUGAAUCCACUAUUUUCGUGAUCUGCUUUAAGAAACUUAGUUAGUAGGAGCUCUAAUGCUUGCAUGUUUAUAAAUGAGAAAAGCGUGUUAGAUUUCUAGAAAUUUGUUUAGCAUUGUGUCUUUUGAAUAAGAAAAUGUUUAAUAAAACUGUAGACAAGGUAAAUGUUACCUGUUCUUGAGGACUUAAAUUAUCUGUUGCAUCACAAGCAUGAAUUUGCUCAUUAGAACUGAAUGGUCCCACUUCCUCAACUGCUUUACGAGCCCUAUCCUUAUUUUUCUCAAAUUUUUCUUCGAGGUCUGCACGAUUUAGUUGUUCUCCUUGUCUUUGUUCAUCAGUACAUGUAUCUUUAUCUGCUAUUUCAAGCUCAUCUGGAACCAUAUAAAUGGGGUUUUUGGCUUCCACAUCCUCCAACUUCUGACUUUCUGAAACACUUUUUACAGUGGUUUUUUCUUUGAUAUUUUCCUCGUUAUACUCACUGGUAGUGGCUGCUUCAUAAACUUUCAUGUCUGGUUGUAUAUUAUCUUCCUCUUUGUCUUCAUCUUCCUCUGAUUCUAAUCUUGUUUCAUCUUCCUGGUCCUCAUUAUUUUCUGCGUCCAUUACUGACUUAUUUUCCUUGUUAAUCUCAUCCAUUGCAUAAAAAAUGUUGAGGACAUUUUCAGUUUCCACAUCCUUCAUGCUUUCAACCUGUGAGCCACUUUCUUUAAUUUUCUUCUCUUGUGUUCUGUCCUCAAUGCACUCAUUUGUGUAGAUUUUCCCAGAAACUUUCACCUCAGGAGGGUUUAAAUAAUUUCUUUCCUCUUCCUCGUUUUUUGUUUUGUUAGAUGGCAAGCACUUGUCAACUUCCUGCUCUUUUCUGUUUUCAUUCUCCAACAAAGCUGUUUCCUUUGUUUCAUUAUCUUCUCUUGAAACAUUUUGAUGAGCUUCGGAAGUUACUUCAGCGAUGUUUAUCUGAAUGGUAUUCAUAUCUGAAGCUUCCAUUGUACAUAAAGAAUCUUCUCUUGUAUCAGAAAUGUUUUCAUCACAAGAUGGCUCGACUUCAACAAGUCCUGUCUCAGUUGUUGUCUCUAACUUUCCAUGUGCUGAAGAUUCAGUGUGUUUAAACUGCAUUAAAAAAUAUACCACCUGAGAUGUUAAUAAUGUGAUGUGACAGACAAAUGUAAAGAGUAGGAACACUCCAAAACUGAUGCCUACAUUGGCAUGUUGCAAUUCAACCUUUUCAUCAAUGUUUUUGACUGCUUCCUGAUCUUUUGUAGUUUUUCUUACUACAUGCUGACUUGUAGUGGUUAAUUCAGAUUCUGUAGCUUGAAACUCCAUUUUCUGUGUCAUUCUGCAAUCCUGCCCAGAACAUUGAAAUAUUAACUGUUACAUGAGUGGUAUACUAUAACAAAGGGAAAUGUUAGAAUAAUUAUUUCAAAAGGCUGCUCCGUUCUUUUCCUUUGCACUAAGUUGGUCCAAUUUUAAUGCUACCACUACAUACAUUUUUAGCAUGACUUACAUCAUCUUGUGCUAUCACAACUUUAGCAGGAUCUGUUUCAGUUAUAGCUUCCAAAUUUUGCUGUACAGAAGUUAAAUUGAAGGAAGCCUGUGUAACAAGGUUAACAUGAAAACAAUGAUGAGGCAAAGGAUGACUUAAAAGGAAGAGAAUGAACUGAUUUCUAGGUUCUUAUCAAAGCAACCUCCUGCUUUAUAUUCUCAUUCCCCAUUGCUAUGUCUUCUUUGAUCUCUGGUUUUCUCUGGCUUUGUAGCCUUUUGGAUUCUGCUUCAUCAGUCAGUCAAUGUACCCUUAGCAGGUUUAUCACUUAAAAUGUCAUUUAUGCUCUCCCAGUUGUCAUUGGUCACACUAUGAUCUGCAUCCUUCUGAAGUAUGAUUUUCAGAUUUUGCAACAGAAUUAGUGACCAUUUUGUGCUAAAAGAAAACAACUAUCUCUUUGGACCAGUUUGGAUGAUAAAAUCUCUUAUGUUAAUACUAGUUCCCCUUUGACAAUUAUGCAAUAAUGAAAGGGCAUAUGGAACAAGGUAAAGGUCAACUUGGCCUUUUUAAUAAAGAUUCAAUGCUAUGUAAAAGUCGAUGAUACUUUUGCACAAGCUGGAUGUUAUGCUUACAAGUAACCAUUAGUCUAGAACAGUAAUUUUUAAUUGCUGAACAAUUCAACUUAUCAGUAAUUUGUAAUUGCUGAACAAUUCAACUUGAACCACAAGAGACAAAGACUAUCUAUCAUGAGGUAGUGAAAAAGAAAAAAAAAAAGAAAAGCAAGGCAGCCCAGUGCAAGUGACACAUCAAUGCGGGUCUAAAAGGGUUAGUGUAAAGUUGUAAACCAUCUCACCUUUUCAGGCAGAAGGGUUGUUUCUAUAACUUAAAACCCUAGUCACCUAGUUUUAAGAGCAACAUGGCCAGUGAUGCCAAGGCUCACCCUUAUAUACAAUGAAGUUGUACUAUUUUCAUUAUGUCAGGUCUAAGAAAAUUUUUGCAGAGCGGCCAAAGACUAUACUGAUAUUGACUUACCAUGAAAAUCUAAUUUGUUCAAGUUUAUUACAUUCUAGGAGUAAACAGGUAGAGGACACCAAAUUGAUAGUAAUAUGUUGAAAGAGAUAUAUAGUCAAUUUCUCAACUUUGAUGAGCCUCUUUUUAUAUAUUCUUAUGUAGAAGGA
rnacentral:lncRNA from 1 species